rnacentral:rRNA from 1 species
AUGAGGAAGAGCUCGAGCAGGGGCUCUGCCUCCGGUCCAAGAAGCAGCAGCAGCCGCCUCCUGCGCAGCCCCGCCGGGCCGCUCUCCGCGUCGCACGCUACCCACCAAGCUCCGCGCACGCGCGCGCUCGCACACGCCCAGAUGUGCUGCGCUCUCGUCGCCGGACUCCGCCACCUCACCGGCAACUACACCACCGGCGCCGCCGCCUCCAAUGAACCUAGCUCCGAUGCCAUGUUGGUUGGAGGACUCACAGUGGGGAAAUUUCCUGAAGCUUCAAUCACCUCAGGUGCUCUUCCUUCACCUCUGUAUAUACAAUGUACAAAUUACAUAUUAGCCCCUACACAGUUCUAUUUUCCUAAGCUAGGAUCUCCAACAGAUACACAGCUAUAG